GACGAACGCUGGCGGCGUGCCUAAUACAUGCAAGUCGAGCGAAGUUUUUCUGCUUCUUGCACUAGAAAAACUUAGCGGCGCGCGUGUGAGUUACACGUAAAGCACCUGCCUCAUAGACUGGGACAACUAUUGGAAACGAUAGCUAAUACCUGCUAACAGUAUUUCUCGCAUGAGAGAUAUUUAAAAGUUGGUUAUGCUAACACUAUGAGAUGGCUUUGCGGUGCAUUAGCUAGUUGGUGGGGUAAAGGCCCACCAAGGCGACGAUGCAUAGCCGACCUGAGAGGGUGAUCGGCCACACUGGAACUGAGACACGGCCCAGACUCCUACGGGAGGCAGCAGUAGGGAAUCUUCGGCAAUGGGCGAAAGCCUGACGGAGCAACGCCGCGUGAGUGAAGAAGGAUUUCGGUUCGUAAAGCUCUGUUGUUAGGGAAGAAUGGAUAUGUAGUAACUACACACGUAAGAGACGGUACCUAAACAGAAAGCCACGGCUAACUACGUG
rnacentral:rRNA from 1 species